rnacentral:rRNA from 1 species
UUUAGAUGUAAAUUAUAUUAACCUAGGUAGUAUUAGUUAAGGUCUUGAAACUUAAAGAAUUUGGCGGUAUUUUAGUCUAUUUAGAGGAAUCUGUUCCGUAAUCGAUAGUCCACGUUGUACCUUACCAAAUUUGUGUAUGUAUACCGCCGUUAUUAUAAGAAGAUCUUUUUAGAGAUUAAAAAUUUUCUAGAUUUAUUUUUAAAAUUUAUUUCAGGUCAAGGUGCAGCAAUAUUUUGGUGGAAAUGGAUUACUAUUAUAUUAAUUAUUGGAUUAUUCUUUGUAAUUUUGGAAUAUGAAAUUGGAUUUAAUUGUAAUUUUUUGAAGAUUGUAAAUAUGAUUUUAGCUCUAUGAUAUGU